rnacentral:lncRNA from 1 species
AAAACAAUCAUAGGCCAUCACAGUCAGAAGCAUGUCAUCCAUACAUCCAAAAAGGACAAAAAGAGACAUCUGUGUCAGGCAGCCCCCAUAGGAGAUGACCCUGAUGUGAGUAAGGAGGUCCACAAUCAACUUUGGGACUAUAGAGGAGGUGAAAUAGAUGCCAGCCAAGGACAGGUUGGAGAGGAAGAAGUACAUGGGGGUGUGGAGGUGGGAGGCAGAGAUGACAGCCAGGAUGUUGAGCAGGUUCCUGAGCACUGUGACCAGGUAGAUGGACAGGAUCAGUCCAAAGAGGACUGGGUGCAGGUCUGGAUCAUCUGAGAAGGUCAUGAGAUAGAACUCUGAGACACAUUUCAGAACACUGGAAUCAAAGAAACUCCCAAGGCCCUGGCUGAGCCCCAGUCUUCCUAAUUCUAACCAACAGAUUUUCACAUCAAUUUCUACUGAAAUAUAAACUUUCAAAAUAUGGCUACCAUCAUUCCAGUAAUGAUUCCUUUAUGAUACCACAUGAAGGAAUUUCAUCAUCACAUGAGGAAUAACGUUUCCAUUUUGCUUCAACUGUGGAGCCUGUGCUAAGGGAUGGCACUGAAGAAAUGAGCAAUUGAGACAGUGCCCUGGUUUGAAAUGCAGCAAAUCAACACUGAAGUCUCUAUGACUGACUGGCUACCAUGUACAGGGUGUGUGUACAUCCCGCCCCUCUUGGUGCUCUUGCUGCUUAAGAGACAGUGGGAAAAUUUCAUCUAUCUCCAAAGCCUG